rnacentral:misc_RNA from 1 species
UUUCCGUAGGUGAACCUGCGGAAGGAUCAUUCAUAAUAAAGUGUUUUUUGGCACUUUUUAAAAAUCCAUAUCCACCUUGUGUGCAAUGUUAGAUCUCGUCAAUCUUGGCGAGAUUUUUAUACAUCAACUCAUUCUUUAACUAAUUUGUCUGAAAAAUAUUAUGAAUACUUAAUUCAAAAUACAACUUUCAACAACGGAUCUCUUGGCUCUC